UUGCCCAUCUAAGACUGUCAGUGUCUUAAAUGGCCAUCACACGAGGGUAGAAAAAAAUUCUCUUUCUAACCUAGGACAAUCUGUUUGUUCUGGGUCUGGUAUAGAGGGACACGU